UGAUGCGAUUCAAAGUGCAUUUGAACAGCGGUGAAACAUUUUCUUAUGAUGUGUUACAUUCAUACAAGCAGACAAAGUAGUAAGUUUCAAGUAAGUUUGGAGCGGAAGAAAUAGUAAUAAACCUUGUGUAAAUUGUCAGCUUUAUGCUAAGCUAAAAUGCUAUUUUACAUGCACGUUACCAGGCACGAUCAUAUUUUUUUAUCAAGAAAAUUCACAUUGGAUCAUAAUUUCUUUUUUUCUAGUAAGACCUUUGAUAGUAGGUCAAAAAUAGUAUUCUUGAUAAUAAUUUUGGUAUUGUUUUCCUGUAAAAAUAUCUAAAAAUCCUUAAAACAAGAUCAGUUUGAUUUAUCUUGUUUUAGAAACAACACUGCAUAUGAUAUUUAGGUUUUUCAGAGAAUGUAUUUUUAACAUGUGUAUUUUGUCUUACUGUACUGACAGAGUUUUAAUAGUCAAAACAAGUUAAAAAAUCUACCAGUGCUGAAGAAGUAAUCCAAAGUAUUUAGAAUACGUUACUGACCUUGAGUAAUCUAACGGAAUACAUUACAAAUUACAUUUGACAGCAUGUAUUCUGUAAUCUGUAGUGGAAUAAAUUUCAAAAGUAACCCUCCCAACCCUUCUUAUGCAUACAUUGUGUGUGAGUGAGUGUGCAUGUUCAUUUGUUAAAAUAUUCUAGCUUAUUGUCAGAGUUUUUUGCUUUAAUGUUUUAUUUUGGCCUCUAGAGGCCCUCAUUGUGUUUCAUUUCAGUUUCCCGCCAUUUUAUCAUGUGUUAUUGUUUUCACCUGUGCCUCGUUCUGGACUGUGUAUUUAAGUUGAUCACUUCCUUUGUUUCUUUGCUUGGUUAUUGAUGUUCCUAGCCAGUUACUGCCGUAAGUCUGCUCUAGUUCCAAGUACUAAACUUUGUAAGCCUUUUGGUUUGUUCUUUCCCCGUGUUUAUUUUUUGCUGUUUUUUGAUGUCUUUUCCCUUAGUUUUUUGGAGAUUAUUUUUUCCUCCUUUCGGAUCCUUUUCUGGACUAAAGAUUUUUCUGUUUUUUUGUGAUUGUCAGUAAGAAAUUGCUUUUGUACUUUUUGCUAUUUUUGUUAAUGAACUCUGAGUUCUUUUAAGAGCGCGUCUGAGUAUUGGGUUCAACUCCCUUCUGUGGCUCAGUGGUAGAAAUUAAGAUUCUUGCGCCAGAGACCCAAGUUUGAUUUCCGGCUGUGACACUUAUGAGAUAUCUUGAGUAUUUAAUUGUGAAAUUGCUUUCACUAGUGACAGAGAAUCGUAGAACUAGCUUUAUCCACCUUAAUUUUUAACAUACUAGGGCACAGCCAUUCACAAACUUGAAUGUGGACCGCUUCCACUAUGAGACAUCUACAGCUAUUUAAGGGAUACAUAAAUGCUAAUUUAUUCUGCUUUAUAUUGCAGACUUGCUAUAUUUGUCAUCAUAUUAUUAUCAAUAAUUAUAAUUUUCAUGAACACAUUGGUUCAGAGCCGUGUAGUUUUUACCAUCGUUUCAUCACAUUUUUGCAUAGGUAGAUGUAAGGCCACAACCAGAGACUCACUCAUCCAACCACCAGAGGGAGCCCUCUCCCGAACAUUGACUCCACUUCGUUCCUUCUCCAGUUACAUCCUGUUUGUAGGUUUAAAAGCCAUGUGCUUCCAUACACACAUUGCGAAGUAUUGCCUGUUCACCUGUCUUACUUAGCGUUUAACCUGUGUAUUCUCGUUUUGCCUCAUGUUAUGAUCUUACUGCCUGUUUAUUGGAUUUAUGUUCCUGGAUUACCCUUUCUGUCUUGUUUGCCUGAUUGGAUUGUUUGCCUGUUAUCAACCACUGCCUGUUAUACUGACCACGUUUGAGACCCCUGAUUUGGUUUUGUUUAUUAAACUCCUCUGCAUAAUGGAUUCUAACCAGUCUGAGUUUGUUACAGAAUACUUCGCCUGAUCUGAAUCCAGCAGAAGUGUCACAGAUUCAAGCAGCCUUUAACUACCAGAGUGAAGUCUUACAAGGAUUCCAAACUCAACUUGCCAGUCUGCGUGCCACUAAUGAACAUCUGACUCAUAUUCAAUCUCUUCCACCUACCAGAACUGAAUCGGUAAGAGUUGCCCUAUCAGACAAAUUUGAUGGUUCAGCUGAUAAAUGCAAGGCGUUUUUGGGCCAAUGUCAGAUAUAUUUCUCCAAUCAGCCUGAGGUUUUUCAUCUGGAAAGGACUAAGUGUUCGUUUACUAUGACUCUACUUACUGGAGAAGCACUGGAUUGGGCAUUGGCUGUCUGGGACACGGACAAUCAGAACCACCAGAAUUCAUGCAAAUAGGAUAUACCAGGUUGUCAUCAGAAGAACGCCACCGACAUCGGUGUGAAAGGCUGUGUUUUUACUGUGGAUAUUCAGGUCACCAAUGUGCUGCAUGCCCCAAUAAAACCAAGACCUCCAGCAAAGAACAUUAGUGGAUUCCGGGGCAGCUGUAAAUCUGAUCCAUCAUGAACUCAUCACUGAACUCAAUAUACCUACCUUACCAGGCACACCAUCCAUCAACAUAACAGCCGUCGACAAUGAACCCAUAGGAACAGGCAUCACACAACAAACCAUACCUCUGACUAUACGAAUUGGUCUAUUCCACACUGAAAGGAUUUCAUUAUAUGUAAUAUCCUCCCCAAAGAACCAAAUCAUCCUGGGCCACCCAUGGUUAACUGUACAUAAUCCCAACAUAUCCUGGGCACAAGGUGAACUCAUCAAGUGGUCAAGUUAUUGUCAGUAAAACUGCUUCCAGUCUGAAAUCACUCUGCCAUGUCUCAAACCAAAGCAACCCAACUACCACAAAAUUUACACCACCAGAAGAGAGCUCAGCGUGCACUUUCAUUGCACCAAAUCUUCUUAGCGGUGUAUAGUAAAACUACAUGCAAAUCUGCAUUCAGCAUGACUUUGGAAAUAUCGGCCUCGGAAAUAAAUAAAUAAAGGCAUCAUCGGAGGUUAUGCAGGAACAUAUGAAUGGAGGUACAUGGAGACAUGAAAAUAAUGCAUUGUCAAGCUCUUGGUAAAGUAAGAAGCAGAUUUUACUACUUUUAACUAUAAAUGUCAACAUUAAAAAUGUAUACUACAUUGGAUCUGCCAAUAACCCUUUGUCAAAUCCAGUGUUGAAUAAAAGCGAGUUGUGCCCAACUG